UUCAGCCAGCUUGGUUACUGGAUUGAUCUACGAUAAAGUAUAAGAACUGUUCAAUUGUUGAGCAACCCACUUCCAUCUGAAAUUGAAGUAAAGGACUGCAACGAUAUCACCUUCUUCUUUUUU